rnacentral:rRNA from 1 species
GGGUGCGAUCAUACCAACACUAAUGCACCGGAUUCCAUCAGAGCUCCACAAUUAAGUUUACUUGAAUGAGAAUGGUUUUAGAAUGGAUGAUCUCCUGAGAAGUCCUCUCGCUCCACCUU